rnacentral:rRNA from 1 species
UACGUAGGGGGCGAGCGUUAUCCGGAUUCAUUGGGCGUAAAGCGCUCGUAGGCGGUCCAUUAGGUCGGAGGUCAAAUCCCGGGGCUCAACCCCGGUCCGCCCCCGAUACCGGUGGACUUGAGUGUGGUAGGGGAAAGCGGAAUUCCCGGUGUAGCGGUGGAAUGCGCAGAUAUCGGGAAGAACACCGGUGGCGAAGGCGGCUUUCUGGGCCAUCACUGACGCUGAGGAGCGAAAGCUGGGGGAGCGAACAGG